CCUACGGGUGGCUGCAGUGGGGAAUUUUCCGCAAUGGGCGAAAGCCUGACGGAGCAAUACCGCGUGAGGGACGAAGGCCUGUGGGUUGUAAACCUCUUUUCUCAGGGAAGAAGAUCUGACGGUACCUGAGGAAUCAGCAUCGGCUAACUCCGUGCCAGCAGCCGCGGUAAGACGGAGGAUGCAAGCGUUAUCCGGAAUUAUUGGGCGUAAAGCGUCCGCAGGCGGUUUUGUAAGUCUGUCUUUAAAGAGUGGAGCUCAACUCCAUAAAGGGGAUG
rnacentral:rRNA from 1 species